UCUAGCACGGGUGAAUUACCAGCGUCCUCACUCUUGGACCGCGGGGCUGCUGUAAAGGGACUCAGGAUUAUUUAAAACAAGCCCCGCUGUGCUGGAGUCCUGAGGCGACUAAAAAGGUAGGUAGCAUGCACACCUGCAUGAGCCGGACAAAAGGAUUCGUGACCUGAGUGACAGCGUGCUGCCUAGAAUGGCUCAUGAUUCUGCAUUUCAUGUUCUCCGAGGCCGACCACGGACUGUGUCUGUAAUGGUGCUCGCACACGGUGUCGCAGUCGCCUCUGACUCCUCUCCAGCUCAACUGCUCUUCUAAGGAAAGCACCGAGAAGACAACGAAGAACCCCGCCCCAUCCCCUACUUCCUCUCUCC